UACGUAGGGACCAAGCGUUGUCCGGAAUCAUUGGGCGUAAAGAGCGUGUAGGCGGCUUGUUAAGUCUUGCGUGAAAUCUCGGGGCUCAACCCCGAGCGGUCGUGAGAAACUGGCAGGCUAGAGUGCGGGAGAGGAGAGUGGAAUUCCUGGUGUAGCGGUGAAAUGCGCAGAUAUCAGGAAGAACACCCGUGGCUAAGGCGGCUCUCUAGUACGGUACUGACGCUGAGACGCGAAAGCGUGGAGAGCGAACAGG
rnacentral:rRNA from 1 species